rnacentral:rRNA from 1 species
AGAGACGUGCAAGCGUUAUUCGGAUUCACUGGGCGUAAAGGGGUGCGCAGGCGGCCGUGUGUGUGAGCGUGAAAGCCCGGAGCUCAACUCCGGAAUUGCACCUCAAACUACAUGGCUAGAGCAUUGGAGAGGGAAGCGGAAUUCACGGUGUAGCAGUGAAAUGCGUAGAUAUCGUGAGGAACACCAGAGGCGAAGGCGGCUUCCUGGACAAUUGCUGACGCUCAGGCACGAAAGGCGUGGGGAGCAAAAGGG